CCGGCCUUGGCCAGCCCAGAAAGGGGCUCCCACAGUGCAGUGGUGGGCUGAAGGGCUCCUCAAGUGCUGCCAAAAUGGGAGCCCAGGCAGAGGAGGCACGGAGAGCGAGCGAGGGCUGUGAAGACUGCCAGCACGCUGUCACCUCUCAAUGUGGCUGAUAAGGUAGACUUGGGUGGGGUAGGGGCAGCCCAACAACCCGUUCAAAGAGCUUGAGGCACGUUCCUCUUCUGCUCUCACCGCUUUUCCUUCUCCCUGGUGCUGCAGAGCAUCCCACAGUUUGUGUGCACUGCCUCCCCACACUCCCUCCUCAUCUCACUCUGCCUGGCUCAUGUCUCCACCAUCCCCUCUUGUGGCUCCUCAGGAGGCUGCCCCUGACCUCCAUCUUCCCCAGGGCAGUAGGGAAUCACCCCAUGUCGCCUCCCCUGGCCUCUUGCAUGUCUUGACACAGAGCAGCACCCUCUCUCAAAGCGCUUCUUCUCCAGGCCUUCCAGGCCCACAGCCGACCCAUAAGCUCCUCUCUCAAUGGCUACAGCCUCCGCCUCCUGUACUGCCUCCUCCUCCUGUUCUCUAAUUGUCCUGGGUCUUUCCACCACUUCUGUCUCCACAUUGUGGUCCUAGGCUCCUCCACCCCAGGGCUUUAAGAACCACACACAUGCUAAUGACUCUCACCUUUGACCUUCUGCUGAUCUUCCAGCUGAGCUUCAGACUCAUAUGCACUCCUAGGCUACGUGCUCUCUUGGUGCCCAACAGGUCUCAAACUUGACAUGUCUAAAACAGAAGACUUGCCUGUAGUUCCAGCUACUCGGGAGGCUGGGGCAGGAGAGUCGCUUGAACCCAGGAGGUGGAAGUUGCAGUGAGCCGAGAUCAUGCCACUGUACUGCACCCUGGGUGACAGAGUGAGACUCGGUCUCAAAAUAAAUAAAUAAAUACAUAAAUAAAUAAAACAGAAGACUUGCUUCCCUACCACUCCAAACCCAUUUAUUCCCUAGUCUCCUCCGUCAUACUAAGUGAAACCACUCUACCCUGUUGCUCAGGACGAAAACCUCACCCUGAACUCUUUGCUUUGCUUUUCUCUAACAUCUCACAAUGAAUCCAUUAGUAAGUCCUCUUCUUUUUUUUUUUUUUUCAAGACAGAGUCUUGCUCUGUCACCCAGGCUGGAGUGCAGUGGCACAAUCACGGCUCGCUGCAAGCUCCGCCUUCCGGGUUCACGCCAUUCUCCCACCUCAGCCUCCCGAGUAGCUGGGACUACAGGCGCCCGCCACCAUGCCCAGCUAAUUUUUUGUAUUUUUAGUAGAGACAGGGUUUCACCAUAUUAGCCAGGAUGGUCUCAAUCUCCUGCCCUUGUGAUCUGCCCACCUCGGCCUCCCAAAGUGUUGGGAUUACAGGCGUGAGCCACCGCGCCCGGCCAGUCUGCUCCAUUUUUUUUACAUUCAAAAUGCAUUUCCCACUGCUAACUACCUCCACUUCCUCCCCCCAGAUCUAGGCCACCCUCCUCUCUUCCAUGUACCAAAACCCCUACCUAUUCUUCCUAUCGCCGUUCUUGGCCCCCUCUAGCCCAUCCUGUACAAAGCAGCCCAAGAAUGGCCUUUCUAAAGUAGAUGCCACAUCACAGGACUCUUCCCCUUAAAAAACCCAACAGAAUCCAAACCCUUUCUGGUGGCCUGCAGUGACAGAGCUGACCCUGCCGGCGUUUGCCGCUCUUUUCCCUCCUCUCCGUUGGUCGCCGUGGCACUGUCCUAUGGGCCUUCUUUUUGUCCCCUGAACACACCAAGCUCUUUUCUGACUCUGAGCCCUUCCACUCAAUGGUCCAUGCUACCUAGCAGCCCCCUCACCUUUCAGGCUGCAACUUUGACACCUGCUCAGACAGGCCUGCCCUAACCUUGUGGGCUAAAGGAGCCCCACAUCACUCUCUAGCUGCAGUUUCAUUUUGUUUUGUUUUUGAGACAGGGUCUCACUCUAUCACCCAGGCUAGAGUGCAGUGGUGUGAUCAUAGCUCACUGCAAGCUCCGCCUCCUUCCAUGAUAGCCUCAAACUCCAGGCCUCAAUGGAUCCUCCCUCCUCGGCCUCUCAAAGGUCUGGGAUUACAGGCAUGAGCCACUAUGCCCGGCCUCUAUCUGCAUUUUGUGUUCAGUGUACACUUAUCAGUACAUAAAUUAUCUUGGCUAGUCGUCAUUUCUGUUGUCUAUCUCCAACCACCCCCGAAGCCUUUCAUCUCUAGCUCCCAGAGCUGGGGACUUGUCUUGUUUACUGCCGUAUUCCCAAUGCCUAGAGCUCAUGUGGCAUGCAGCAGGCACUGGCUAUGGGUGGAGGUCUCCAGCUCUGCUCCAGCUCCUGUCCCACACGAUUGCUGGCCACAGUCCUCGAAAUCAAUUUCGUGACACAUUAAUGGGUUGUGAUUCUGAGUUUGUAAAUAGUUGGUCUGUUUGGACAUUGAAGUUACCCACGAUGAUGGCAAGACUUGGAAUGAAGUGGUGCCAAAGUCUUCAAUGAAUAUGGAGGGGCAGAGGCACAGCUCCAUGCAUUUGUCCUCGUGAAUGGCCUGUGAUUUCAGCACAAUCUAUUAGGGAAGAACUAAGUAAACUGCCCUUCUUCACGUGCCCCAGCUCCGUAGUCUGAUCUGGAAAAGGGGCAGGGGCACGGGAACCUCAGCAGCAGGUGACUGUGGCCUCCAGACUCUGCCAUGCUUCCAAAAGCUCCAGCCAUCUCAUGGUUGCAAGAAUCUCCCAGAGGGAGAGGCCAUGUCCAAGGCGACGGUGGGUGGGGUUCAGCCUCCCAGGCUAAGGCUGGGAACGUGCCUUGCCCAGAGGAGAGGGCAGGGUGGGAGGCACUGAGGGCAAGGGUCAGGGCUCCCACAGAGCCAGUGUGUG
rnacentral:lncRNA from 1 species